rnacentral:rRNA from 1 species
CCUACGGGAGGCAGCAGUAGGGAAUAUUGCUCAAUGGGGGAAACCCUGAAGCAGCAACGCCGCGUGGAGGAUGAAGGUUUUCGGAUUGUAAACUCCUUUUGUUAGAGAAGAUAAUGACGGUAUCUAACGAAUAAGCACCGGCUAACUCCGUCGCAGCAGCCGCGGUAAUACGGAGGGUGCAAGCGUUACUCGGAAUCACUGGGCGUAAAGCGCGCGUAGGCGGGAUAGCAAGUCAGAUGUGAAAUCCUAUGGCUUAACCAUAGAACUGCCAUUGAAACUGUUAUUCUAGAGUAUGGGAGAGGUAGGUGGAAUUCUUGGUGUAGGGGUAAAAUCCGUAGAGAUCAAGAGGAAUACUCAUUGCGAAGGCGACCUGCUAGAACAUAACUGACGCUGAUGCGCGAAAGCGUGGGGAGCAAACAGGAUUAGAUACCCGAGUAGUC